rnacentral:tRNA from 1 species
UUUGUCGUUUUUAUACUUAACUUUGAAAGUUUUGUUUGGUUUUCCUAAUGACUUAC